UCUCUCUCUCUCUCUCUCUCCAGUAAAGAGGUGAAGGUGAAGGGAUAAAGCAGAGACAAAAACUAGAAAAGAAAACCAAAGAGAUUGAGUGGAAGAAAAAUAAAAAAGUGUUAAGAGAAUCAGGUUCUUCGUGAAAUAAAGCACAUACAAAGAGAGGAAAAAGAGGAGAAAGAGGGGGGAAAAUGCAAGCAAAGACACUCAAGAGAGCACGCAAAAGGAGAGAAGGAAAGGAAAGGAAACACUCUCUCUGUUACACCCGUGAAUCAUCUUGGAUUUUUACAAGAACAGAUGCAGAUCCCACUCAUUAGAAAAAAUCUUUUGAAUUAAAAAGAAACCCCAUUAAUGAGCACGAAUCUUCCUGAACCUAAAUUCAAUGCACUCUGCUUUACGGAGAGUCGGAGACAGAUACACUCUGUUUACUUCUAUCAAGCAGAUCUUAAUCACAUCAUCCAUCACGUCCCAAAAACAGAAACCCCAAAAAACAAAAUUUGACUCAGAAAUUAUCUCAAUAACCCAGAAAAACCCAGAGGCUAAUUUAACAAGGUCCCUCGUUUUGAGCCCCCCAAAACGCCAUUGAAAUACCAGCAGAACCUCCAAACUAAGCUUAAAACACAGAAAGGAAGAAUGUAGAAAGCAAUAGCCUUCAAUUCUUCAAAACUACGGUAGGAAAUUCACAUUCUAAUUUGCACCUGCAGCUCUCUACUCCAUUCUCCCCCUCUCUCUCUCUCUCCCUCUCUGCCUCUGUUUCUUGUGAAAGCAACCAUGCCUGUUCAAGUGAUGCCAGAGACAACCCUUCACGGCAUUCAUGUCUUGGGAACGGAAAACAAUCCUCCCUCUCCUAGAAGGUUGGAAGGGAAAAUUGCUAUAGUAACAGGCGGUGCCAGAGGAAUUGGAGAGGCCACUGUAAGACUAUUUGCCAGACAUGGCGCUAAAGUAGUGAUUGCAGAUGUUGAGGAUACACGGGGAACUAUUCUAGCUAACUCUUUUGCUCCUGCAGUGACCUUUGUUCACUGUGAUGUUAGCCAGGAAGAAGAUAUUGAGAACUUGAUUAACUCCACAGUUUCUCAUUACGGGCGGCUCGAUAUUCUUUUCAACAAUGCUGGGGUGCUUGGAAAUCAACCAAAGCACAAGAGCAUUCUCGAUUUCGAUGCGGAUGAAUUUGAUCAGGUGAUGCGUGUGAAUGUUAAAGGGGUAGCUCUAGGCAUCAAGCACGCAGCUCGAGUGAUGAUUGCUAGAGGAGUUGGGUGCAUCAUUUCCACCGCUAGUGUUGCUGGGGUGAUGGGAGGUCUUGGUCCUCAUGCAUAUUCAGCUUCAAAGCAUGCCAUUGUUGGGCUCACAAAGAACACUGCUUGUGAGCUUGGCAGGUAUGGGAUUAGAGUCAAUUGCAUAUCUCCAUUUGGGGUGGCCACACCCAUGCUUAUUAAUGCCUGGAGGACCAGUAGCGAUGAAGAAGAGGAUUGCAUGAAUUUUGGGUUGCCUAGUGACCAAGAAGUGGAGAAGAUGGAAGAGUUCGUGAGAGGGUUAGCUAACCUACAAGGCACAACUCUAAGGGCUAAAGAUAUAGCUGAGGCUGCUCUUUAUCUUGCUAGUGAUGAAUCCAAGUAUGUUAGUGGUCAUAAUCUUGUCGUGGAUGGUGGAAUUACCACUUCAAGAAAUUGUGUUGGCUUAUAAAUACAAUUUGCCAUUUCUUCUUCUUCUUUUUAGAUUUUUUUUUUCAUUUUUCUUUUCUAGCUUUGCAUUCGUUGGAAAUAUCAUCAAAUGUAAAAUUCUCUCCUAGUUGUUUUUUUCAAUAUAAAUCUUUUAAUUAGUUGAAAUAAGGGUUUUGUGUUCUAAUUAAUUUCAAGAUUAAUUACCAAAUUCUUGGAAGUGGCCUGCGAGGCUGAAAGUGACAAUGAUGUAAAGAAACAUGCAUAUGGC
rnacentral:misc_RNA from 1 species